rnacentral:rRNA from 14 species
UCAGGACGAACGCUUGCGGCGUGCCUAAGAAAUGCAAGUCGAACGGAAGGAAGAGCAAUCUUUCUUUAGUGGCGAACGGUCGCGUAACACGUAGGCAACCUGCCCGAAAGUGGGGGACAACAGCCUGAAAGGGCUGCUAAUACCGCAUGUGGCCAAUUGGUGGCAUCACCGAUUGUCUAAAGCUUUAUGCGCUUUCGGAUGGGCUUGCGGCCUAUCAGGUAGUUGGUGGGGUAAUGGCCUACCAAGCCGACGA